AACUAACGCUGGCGGCGUGCCUAACACAUGCAAGUCGUACGAGAAAGUCGGCUUCGGCUGAUGAGUAAAGUGGCGCACGGGUGAGUAACGCGUGGAUAAUCUGCCUUUUAGUUGGGAAUAACGUACCGAAAGGUGCGCUAAUACCGGAUAAUACUGCAUAACUACUGUUGUGUAGUCAAAGAAGGCCUCUGUUUACAAGCUUUUGCUGAAAGAUGAGUCCGCGUACCAUUAGCUAGUUGGUAGGGUAAUGGCCUACCAAGGCUACGAUGGUUAGCUGGUCUGAGAGGAUGAUCAGCCACACUGGAACUGAGACACGGUCCAGACUCCUACGGGAGGCAGCAGUGAGGAAUAUUGCGAAAUGGGGGCAACCCUGACGCAGCAACGCCGCGUGAGUGAGGAAGGUUUUCGGACCGUAAAGCUCUGUCGAGCGGGAAGAAAUGUAUCGUGGCUAAUAUCCAUGAUAUUUGACGGUACCGCUAAAGGAAGCACCGGCUAACUCCGUGCCAGCCGCCGCCGUAA
rnacentral:rRNA from 1 species